GGUUGAUCCUGCCAGUAGUCAUACGCUCGUCUCAAAGAUUAAGCCAUGCAUGUGUAAGUAUAAAUAGUUAACUUUGAAACUGCGAAUGGCUCAUUAUAUCAGUUAUAGUUUAUUUGAUGAAGAAUACUAAUUGGAUAACCGUAGUAAUUCUAGAGCUAAUACAUGUAUAAAGUCUUGUAGACUGCAUUUAUUAGAAUGAAAACCAUAGGUUUCGGCCUAUUCGUGAGUAAUAAUAACUAAUCAUAUCGUAUGCUUAUGUAACGAUGUGUCUUUCAAGUUUCUGCCCUAUCAG
rnacentral:rRNA from 1 species